CCCUUUUCGACGACAGUGUUCGUCAAAACUG
rfam:Ixodes scapularis strain Wikel colony gcontig_1108378762466, whole genome shotgun sequence.